CUGUCAAGCUAUUAAAAAAAUUGCACUGUUAAACAAUAAUAGAAUACCAUUUAUAUAAAUAUUUUAGGAUGGAGCUAUCGGGGAAAAUGGGGUUGGUAUGAAUUGUAUUAAAAGGUUCCAAACUCUGUGUCAUAAUCCACAGACUUCCAUACCACAGGCUCUUCAGUCUCACCUACUGAACUAGAGGCUAAAGGCAAGGCUCCCUUUUCCCCAUUAUUAUGAUAUAAUCUAGGAUUUGCUAAGCCUUGUGACAGUUGCAUUUGCUUUCUGUAACCAGGGGUAAGCACAGCUGUCCGAGCUGCUCCCUGGAGAGGAAGCACACCAUAGGCACCAACUUUCCCCAGUGCCGGCUCAGGUUGGCCACCCCGCCUUAAGAGGUGCUUAGCCAGUGUCUCUAGUUACUGUUUCCUAGCAGGAGGUGACCCACUUCCUCUGAGCUCUUCAUCUAUCCAUUGCUGCUGCACUCCAUGCCCCACAGGGAUGUACUGAGGACAGGGUGUCUUCCCAGUCAACAUCGCUUCAAGUUCCAGCCAGUUGUUUCCUUCCUAGAUAGCUGUCCCUCCACCUGCUCAGUUUCUGCAAGAUAUUCCAGUGUCCAGGGGAAACACCAUAGUCCACCACCACAGGCAGACAGAGAGAAGACAAGAAGCUGGAAAAUGUCUCUGAAGGGCAAGUGGCAACUGGAGACUUGAUAACCUGUUUCAAGAGGUGGUCACAGUUACUAGCUAUUGCACACACUUGUCAUAGUCCACCAGUAAUAGAAAAGCCCUAGGAAAGACUUUAGAAAAAGCAAUACCGAAAAGCCUGUGUGCUGUGAAUAAUAAGCACAUCUGGAGAACAAGGCAGAAGGAAUAGGUACCUCUUAUGCAAUUUAGCCAAUUUACAUCAGAAUCUGACACUUUACAGAACAGUAAACAAUUAGCAAUUAGUAACAAUUAGUAAAGCACUUUGAA